GACGUAGGGCGCGAGCGUUGUCCGGAUUUAUUGGGCGUAAAGAGCUCGUAGGCGGCUUGUCGCGUCGUUCGUGAAAACUCACAGCUCAACUGUGAGCUUGCGGUCGAUACGGGCAGGCUAGAGUUCGGUAGGGGAGACUGGAAUUCCUGGUGUAGCGGUGAAAUGCGCAGAUAUCAGGAGGAACACCGGUGGCGAAGGCGGGUCUCCGGGCCGAUACUGACGCUGAGGAGCGAAAGCGUGGGGAGCGAACAGG
rnacentral:rRNA from 1 species